CCACAAAAGAUGUCGCACAGAAGCUAUUGCCCCAUACUUGGUGGCCACCCCCUUCCAGGCGCAUCCGGCUCCACGACAAGCCCAUGGAUUACUUCGACGACCUCGCCGAGAUGUACGUGGGCAGGAACGUAUCCCCCUGGCCUCUACGGCUGGGUGUUCCCCAAGUGCGACCACAUCGCCAUCGAAACCAGCACCAUCACAGCGAUGUCCGGCCGGCUUGAGCUGCUGCAGGCAGGAGAGAGAAGGAACAAAGGAAGAAGUCAGUGAGCAUUCUCUUCUUUCGUUCAGUUUAUUUCUCUGAUGGGGCUGAAAACUACUAUGAAGGGAAAAGCUCAUUGUUUCUGCUUUGAAGCGGCAUACAUUUCUGCAUGAUUACAACGUGGUUGAACAGGACAGUAGUAACCUCAUACUGCUAAAGUUGAUUGCUCAGCCCAUGACGCCGACUAUUCUUGGUGCCCUCCAGAUUUUCUGGUAUCAAGAGAUAUAUAUGGAGGAAAUGACUAUGUAAUAUAUUUACAAAAAUACUUCCAAAACCAUAAGGUGGACUAAAGAGAGAUGCAGGGAAGAUAUAGAUACGAUCACAUGUGAGCACUGAUCAAAGUUGAGAUUUGAUGAGUCACACAGAAAUAUUAUUUUGAUAGAAACUCUACAAUUUUUCGAUCUUUUGCAAGGCGAUGUUGGAUUGAGUGUUUUGAAUUGGAGUGAUCCAGACGUCAACAACAGUCGAGGAUCUCGAAGAUGGGCAUGAACAACCUACCACACCGAUGGGAGGAAGCUCAAAGAGGCAAAGAAAUUUCAGCGAUUAAAGACUGGACGUUGGAUGCAUAGAGAUAACUGAGGAUUCAGUCAUAGGAGUCGACCAAUCUCUUGCUUGUUAUUGGAAAGAAUCCAUGAUUCCUAUAGAAAAUAUGCUAUAUGCAAAUUUGGUAUGAAAAUAUAUUUCAUCAUGAAUCUAAUGAAGCAAAUUUGGUGUUGUAGAUGUUGAUAUAUUUUUAUAUAGACUUGGUUAAACUUGAGGACAAACAUAGAACUUCACUUAUUUUGGAAUAGAGAGUGCAAGUAACUGAACCA